GAUGAACGCUGACAGAAUGCUUAACACAUGCAAGUCAACUUGAACUUCGGUUUGGGUGGCGGACGGGUGAGUAACGCGUAAAGAACUUGCCUCACAGUUAGGGACAACAUUUGGAAACGAAUGCUAAUACCUGAUAUUAUGAUUUUAGGGCAUCCUAGAAUUAUGAAAGCUAUAUGCGCUGUGAGAGAGCUUUGCGUCCCAUUAGCUAGUUGGAGAGGUAACGGCUCACCAAGGCGAUGAUGGGUAGCCGGCCUGAGAGGGUGAACGGCCACAAGGGGACUGGGACACGGCCCUUACUCCUACGGGAGGCAGCAGUGGGGAAUAUUGGACAAUGGACCAAGAGUCUGAUCGAGAAAUUCUGUGUGCACGAUGAAGUUUUUCGGAAUGUAAAGUGCUUUCAGUUGGGAAGAAAAAAAUGACGGUACCAACAGAAGAAGUGACGGCUAAAUACGUG
rnacentral:rRNA from 1 species